GACGAACGCUGGCGGCGUGCUUAACACAUGCAAGUCGAACGGAAAGGCCCUGCUUUUGUGGGGUGCUCGGGUGGCGAACGGGUGAGUAACACGUGAGUAACCUGCCCUUGACUUUGGGAUAACUUCAGGAAACUGGGGCUAAUACCGGAUAGGAGCUCCUGCUGCAUGGUGGGGGUUGGAAAGUUUCGGCGGUUGGGGAUGGACUCGCGGCUUAUCAGCUUGUUGGUGGGGUAGUGGCUUACCAAGGCUUUGACGGGUAGCCGGCCUGAGAGGGCGACCGGCCAAAUUGGGACUGAGAUACGGCCCCGACUCCUACGGGAGGCAGCAGUGGGGAAUAUUGCACAAUGGGCGGAAGCCUGAUGCAGCAACGCCGCGUGCGGGAUGACGGCCUUCGGGUUGUAAACCGCUUUCGCCUGUGACGAAGCGUGAGUGACGGUAAUGGGUAAAGAAGCACCGGCUAACUACGUG
rnacentral:rRNA from 1 species